AUUGAAUAAAGAAAAACCCAUAAAAUAAAAAGUAAAAACAAAGGAAUGACUUUUAAGCAAAAAAGUUAAAUUAACUCAAUGAACUUUUAUGAAAAUUUGAUGAACAAUUGACUAAAUCCUAAAAAAGAAUGUAUCAAGAUAAGUAUAGAUUUUUAUUAAACCUGAUUUAAUGUUUCAGGAACAUAAGUAUCUAUAUUUGUAACUAUGCUAUAUGUAAGAUAUUUUUGAGUGUAGACAGUUCAUCUAAGAAAUAACAAUACAAUCAAUCCUGUGCGUUAUAAAAAAAGAGAGUAUGAAUGUAGAUUUGUAUAAAAACAGUAUUUUAAAAUGACUGAAAUCGCAUUGUCAUUUAGGUUAACUCAUAUUUAAAAAUAACAAAAAAGGGAAAUAAAAUAUUAUUUCGAAAUAUGAAUAUGACUUAAGAUGAGGUUUUUGCAACGAGAUAAUGUAAUCCCUAGCUUAUCAAGUUAUAUUAAAAAAAAUUCUCCAGCUAUUAUUAUUUUAAACUAUUUUCAUGUUAGUAGGUUCAUGAAAAAUAGAAAGUAACACUUAGGUUUUGUUGGGGAGUUAUUUUUUAUAUAAUUAAAUCACAUUUUGUCUUAUCGACGUUGCCCUAAAAACUUUUGCCAAUAACGAGUAAUAUCACUAGUGUAUAGAUAUAAAGACUUUUGGACGAGAUCCACAUGAUCCACGGUAAAUGUCGUCCAAGAAGAACUAAAUCGGUUUCCGUGAUACCUCUGCGAGGGUCGUUUUAUAGGCCGGAGAUACGUUCACCUGCUUUUUUAUGGCAUUAGACACCGCGGAACGGAUCACCGGCCGCUUCUUCGCCAAGUCCGUUAUGGUCAUAUUUGGAUUUUUCAAGGAGGCUUUUUUUUUUUUGUUUGACUUGUGGAAUUAAUUUGAUCGGUCUUCAGAUUCUUUGACGAUCACUGAUAUCUUCACAAUUGUUGACUUUAACCCUGACCCUUUAAUCCUAGAGACUUGGUAAAUAAGAUGUUCAAAAUGUAAACAAUCAACUGUUCUUUUUGUUAAUCCAAAUUUAGCAUAAAAUGAACUAAAACCUUUCAAACUUUUUGACCAUCCGUGAUGAAACUCAUUUUUGACUCCAUGGUUUUGUUAAUAAGCAAAAUAUGCGUUAUUGGUCAGGCAGCAAUCCACAAGUGCUUCACAAGACAUUAUUGUAUCCAAAAAAAAAUAUUGCUCGGUGUGGACUUCAAGCUAGAGGGAUCUUUGGGCCAUAUUUUUUCGUUGAUGUUGAUAAUUGACAUAGUUAGGUAUAUGGAAAUGCUAUUGCACCAUCAUAAUUGAUUUUUUCCCCCCACAAUUUCAAGGUAUGAUCUUGGCAUUUCAACAAGACCACUUAUCACAAAAGAAACGUUAAAAUUGAUUUAAUGCAAAACAAAGUUGGUUAGUGCGUUAUUUCGAGAAAUGAACAAGCUGAUUAGCCACCUCAAUCGUAAGAUUUAAUGCAUUAAGAUUAUUUUCUUUGGGAUCAUGUGGAGUUAUUGGUAUACAUGUAUAAGCUGGCGACGUGAGAAGAGCUCAGAGAAAAUAUCUAACGCAAAAGUGCGUCAAUAUCGUUCAAUUUAUUGGAAAAAGUAGUGUAAAAUUGGGUUCAACAAUUGGAUUUCUGUAAACGCGCUCGUGUUGGUCAAGCUAGAGAAAAUAGAUUUUUAUACAUAAAUGUAUAUUUAAAUAAUUCGUUCUAAAAAAAUUAAUUUGGUUAAAUCUCUAACCGUUUGUGUUUUUAUUAAUAAAAAAA
rnacentral:lncRNA from 1 species